CGAAGUAACCUUGUCUGAGACCUUCGUCUUGUUGCUUGGCGAAGUAGCCUUGUCUGAGACCUCCGUCCUGUUCCUUGGCAAAGUAGUCUCGCAAGAGACCUCCGUCCUCGGCGAAGUAGUCUUGUCUAAGACCUCCGUCCUUUUCUUUGGCGAAGUAGCCUUGUCUGAGACCUCCGUCCUGUUCCUUGGCAAAGUAGUCUCGCAAGAGACCUCCGUCCUCGGCGAAGUAGUCUUGUCUAAGACCUCCGUCCUUUUCCUUGGCGAAGUAGCCUUGUCUGAGACCUCCGUCCUGUUCCUUGGCAAAGUAGUCUCGCAAGAGACCUCCGUCCUCGGCGAAGUAGUCUUGUCUAAGACCUCCGUCCUUUUCUUUGGCGAAGUAGCCUUGUCUGAGACCUCCGUCCUGUUCCUUGGCAAAGUAGUCUCGCAAGAGACCUCCGUCUUCGGCGAAGUAGCCUUGUCUAAGACCUCCGUCCUUCUCCUUGGCGAAGUAGCCUUGUCUGAGACCUCCAUCCUGCUGCUUGGCGAAGUAGGUGCGCCGAAUACCUCCA
rnacentral:lncRNA from 1 species